rnacentral:rRNA from 1 species
GACGAACGCUGGCGGCGUGCUUAACACAUGCAAGUCGAACGGUGAAGCGCCUUCCUUUUUGGUGGGUGUGGAUGAGUGGCGAACGGGUGAGUAACACGUGAGUAACCUGCCCCCUUCUUCUGGAUAACCGCAUGAAAGUGUGGCUAAUACGGGAUAAUCUGGGUCUGUCGCAUGAUGGGUCUGGGAAGGAUAUUGUUUCGGUGGGGGAUGGGCUCGCGGCCUAUCAGCUUGUUGGUGGGGUGAUGGCCUACCAAGGCGGUGACGGGUAGCCGGCCUGGGAGGGUGGACGGUCUCACUGGGACUGAGGCACGGCCCAGCCUCCGACGGGAGGCAGCAGUGGGGAUUAGUGCACAAUGGGCGCAAGCCUGAUGCAGCGACGCCGCGUGAGGGAUGGUGUCCGUCCGGUUGUGAACCUCUUUCGCCAGUGAAGCAGGCCUGCCUCGUUUGUGGGUGGGUUGACGGUAGCUGGAUAAGAAGCGCCGGCUAACUACGUG